UUUUGCUUGAGUUAACCUGGAUUUCAAUUUGUUUAAGAAGAUGAAUCAGUUGCAAAAGCUGCAACUUUUGUUUCUCCCUCAGCUCUUUGCCUGCUGAGAAUGUAGGUGCUGCUCAUCUGCCUACCGGCUACCUUGAUGUUGUAAAAGGAAAAUCUCAUGAAGGCUCUUGCAGAAAAUAUAAUAACAAUUUAAGCCUUAUUCCUAGAAAAUUUCGGGCCAGCUACAUAAUUAUAUUUCACCACCAGGGGAUGCCUCCGAAGAAUGUGUUAUAAGGAUGAGAAUCACUCUUAUCCAAGAAUUAAGAGCAAUCAAAAACACUCAAGUUUAGGAGUAAUUUAUGUUAAACGUUUUUCUUCAUCAAUGUAAUUACUUUGCCUCAGGCGUUGGUUGUCUCUUUGAUUUUACAGCUUCAUAUAUUCUGUAAAAAUUCAACUUGGCUGUAGUGUACAGUAAUGAAUACAGAUUUUUCAUCCA